UUUCCCUUGUUAAAAAAAUAUAUAGUGGGGAUUCAGAUGAUUGUAUAACUACAUUUUUUGCUGAUGGAGUUGUCAUUCUCCAGGCAUAAUGUCUCAUAAUAGGCUGCCCCUGGGGAUUCAAAAUUAACAUGAAAUCCUGUCCUUCAAGGCUGUAUAUGAAUUGACAUGGGAAAUAGGCCUAUAAAUGGAAAGUAUGUUUAUUCUAAGAGCCAUAACAGAUGCUUGAAAUGUAACAGAAGGGAGCACUGAAUGACUUGGGGAUAGCUAGAUUCAAUACAUGCAGCAAAAGUUUAUUAUUAAUUUUUUUUAAAGGCAGGGUCUUGCUUUGUUGCCUAGGCUGGAGUGUAGUGGUACAAUCACAGCUCACUGCAGCCUCAACCUCCUGGGCUCAAGUGAUCCUCCCACCUCAGCCUCCCUGGUAGCUGGGACCACAGGUGCACACCACUAUGCCUGGCUAAUUUCUUUUCUUUUUUGUAGAGACAAGGUCUUGCUAUGUUGCCCAGGCUGUUUUCAAACUCCUAGGCUCAAGUGAUCCUCUUGCCUUGGCCUGCCAAAGUGUUGAGAUUAUAGGUGUGAGCCACUGUGCCUGGCCAUGAACUAUUUUUUGAAAUGUUUUAUAACUAUACUCAUUGAUAGCAUAUAUACAGACAGAUGAAUUAGACAUAGGCAUAAGAAGUGGGGCUUAUGUUGAAAACCUCAAAUAUUUGUGGAGCUGUUAGUGCCUCGUGAUUUAUUCACAUCAUGAACAGUGAAUUCUAUUUAUGAUGAUGGAAUUUUUUUCUAAAUUGCCUUAAAACUGCCUUUAAAAUACCAACAUCAUUGAAACUUUAUUUGUGAUAAGUACGGGUAUUGGGUUCAUAGAGUGUAAAGUUUAAGCAUAGAAUGAAGGAAAAUAGCUACCAUUAUUGAGCCACUUACCAGAUACUGUGGUAAGUGCUUUCUGUACAUUUUUAUUUAAUCUCAAUAACCUUGUGAGGUAGAGGAUAUUGUCCUGUUUUUACAGAUGAGGGGACAGUUUGAGGCAGGAUAAGUGAUUUGACCAAGGCAAAAGAGCUGGGAUUCAAUGGAAACCGUGCUGAUUCUAAAGCCUCUUGUACAUUCCCUAACUAAAUGCAUGGGUUUAGAGACCUAGCUAGCUUCUCAUUGUUCAAUAAUCAUAGGGACCAUUUGUUUUUUGGCACUUAGCACAUCUUUGUUUUGGGUUUCAAAAUGGUCUGCACAAGAAAGGACGAAUUGUCAAGCACUUAUAUUUCUCCAAUAUAAAUGACAAUAUAUAAAUUCAUCAAUUAGUCAAUAUUAAACAAAAAGGUUGUUUGGAGAUUCGUUCUAGAUAGGGAUCUUGAAUAAGGCUUUAUGGAGAAAUUGAGAGUAAACUGAUAUUUUCUAGUAAUUAUGCCUCAAGAGGUGUCACACAGCUUAAUACAGUAGAAACAGCACACACAUCUUGAAAUCAGAGAGAUUGGGCUGGACUCAGAAGCACCCUGUAACACUUAAACAAGUAUGUCAACCUCUCAAUCUCAGUUUUCACAUUGUGAAACUAGGAGAAUAAGUUCUCUUUUACAGGGUUAUGAGAAUUACAGGGACUCGUAUAGUCUCUUACCUCCAUGUGUUCGGUUCAUAAACUAGCUGCAGUUCAAUAAGCCACUAAUUGGACAAAAAGGGUAUAUUUAAGCUGAGGAUUAUGAUGUGCCUCAACAAGACCUAUAAUAACGUGAUGUUAAACUCCAAUCCGAGGUGAAGUCUCUAUAGAAGUACGUAUUACUGGUGUUCCACUCUGGUUAGUUCCACAGUGAGCUGAUGCUAAAGGCUCCUUCUGAGCCAUAGGAUUUGGAGAUCACAUCUGUACUUGGAAUCUAUAUGAAUUAAAGUUAAAUUGCUAAAUUGUUUCACAUUCAUCCAGGCUGACAGUGCUUUAAAGUUUGGUAUUAUACUCUUAGUGACAGAUUACAUAUGGAUUUAUGGAUAUUAUGUUACCUGUCUUGUAGCUCAGCUGCAGCUGCUUUGUCUGAGCGCUGGUAAAUUAGCUCUUCGGGCUAUAGAAGAGAAAACCGUUCAGAAAGUCUAAAAAAUCACCUACAGUUAAUUUGAACAGCUGUACAUCCUUUUAAAAAUCUUUUAAAAAAAUGAAAUCUCAGAUAUCAAGAUACAGAUGAUAAUAUAAUGCAUGCUGAUUUACUCAUGACCCACUAGAAGUAAAACAUCAUAAUAUAGUGCUGUGUAGUUCUUUCUCAAUUUCAUUUUUCUUCUCUCUUACCAACAGAAGUAACCAUGACCUGAAUUUGUUUUAGCAUUCCUUCAUUAAACAAGUACUGAUUGCCUGCUAUGUCCUAGGCACUUUUCACAGGUCAGCAGCAGAUACUUGUAGAAGCAGCAGGCAUGAAAGGAGAGAUCUCUAACCUUAGCACCUUCCUUUGGAUCCUCUUCAUUGCAAAGCAUGAAGAUCAUUAGGGGAAUCUGAAUGCUUGGGAACAAAGCUGGAAAGAGGCCCAAAAUUAAAAGGACAGAGCGAGGCACUGACGAUUUGGGAACUUGAAGGCACAUUCUGCUUGAAACUUCUCACUUGCUUGAAGUAAUUUCUCAUCUUCCUGAGACUCAAACUUCAAAAAGAAACACUUCAUGGAGUUUAUAUAUGUUUACAAGAGAGAAAGUACAUGUUCAGAUUCCACAGUCAACACAUGCAUUAAAUGUAUGGUUUGUGGAACACCUGGAAGUGGUACCUAACCCAGGCUCAGAGGACACAUCUCUGCUGGGUGAAGAAACUAGAUAUGAACUUGUGUGAUGUUGGUGACCACGUGGCCAACUAGAGAAAACCUGUCUGCAAAGGAGGAACAUGAAGCCAACAUAUCAAAGAAGCCGAGAGAGGAAGCAGAAGGGUCCUGGCAGCAGGCACUGACGCACUCAUGCCAUUCAACGCUUUUAGGUAUUUAGUACUAUUUUGAGAUUUCAUCAUCCCGUAGACACUCCCCGUGGUACCUAAGGUAGUUCAAAAUUGGGCUUUUAUCUCCUGUGAUCAAAGUCCAAACGAAUAUAGAGAAGAACCAAAUAACCAAACAUACUCUUUAAGAAUAGUUUUGGCAUGAAAAAUCUUCCUGGUACUAAUUCCUGAUGGCUCUCCAUUUACCUUAUUAAGUAUUAAUAAAAGUGUGUGUGUCUACAGCUCAUGAAAGCAGGGAAAAAGAAAAAAAAGUGCAUGUGUCUGGUUUCACUGGCCUGCCCCUCCCCUACACAGGCCUGUUACCUGCAGUUCCUCAAAGGCUUCUCUACCCCAUGCCCAGAGAUGUAAUCUGCUCUCUUCUGAGUCUUUGUUUCUCCUGCUGCCCUUGACCAGGAUGAAUGCCCAGCCCUGCCCACCAACCCUAUGGAUAUUCAGAUUCUGUCCCCCUAGUUUUCCCUAGUGCUUUACCACUGUACUGAGUAUAUUAUGCUUAGUAAGUACUACAUUAUGGAAUUGAAUUCCUAAGACAUUCAGUAAUUAGCCAUAUUAUUAGCCUUAUUAACCCUUAAGAUAUUUUCAAUUCUACAAUUCUAAUUGUACGUGGUUCAGUUGACUCAAAAUCCUGGUAACUGAUUCGUUUAUAUAUCACUAUAUUGAGGCAGAGAGAUUAUUCAAAUGGUGAAUUCAAGAAAACGCAUGGGAAGGUUAUAUAUAAAAGUGCAAUAAAGAGAAACUGCUAUUGCUGGUGACAGCAUAACAAAAACAAAAUACAUAUAUAAUAAUAUACUAAACAGCACCACAGGUACUUUAUUCUUUUAUUAACCCCUCUAUGGCAAUUUCUUACCU